CGUUCUGUUGAAGGCAGUUAUUUUUGUCUUCUGUAAGUCUACCUACCCAUGAUGUCAGCUACUUUUUUCUGCCUGAUGGCGUGGAAGCUGUGACCAUAGCUGGAGCAAGUGGUGAUGUUCCGCUUGAUAUGCUGGCUAGAAAUCAAGGUUUGUGCUCUCCAGACCAGUUCCUAGCGUGUAAAACGGUUGUCUGGGAAUUUUUGAUUGAGUUUGAUGUGUCCAUGCUGGAACGCCUUACCGAAAUUACUAACCUUGACCUCCUCUGCAACCAGCUACAGGACACAAAGCAUUGUGUGAGCAGCUAUAGGCCGGAUUGCAACUUCCCGGACAUUCGAUGGGCUUUCCAUCUGUACCAGGACACCGUCGGCUACAUCUGCAGCGCGGAGGGAAGGGACUUACUUUUGGCAGGAAAAAAAGUGCUUUGAGAACCUGGAGAAAGCGAAUACCCUCCAGCAUUGUAUUGCGAAAUUUCGAGGAAUCUAUCAACGGUCCAAAUCCAUGUGGAACAUUGGAUCAGCUCGGAAGCUGCGUAGAAGACAAUGUGAGGAGCGUUUGCAACAAGAAGGAAGGAGAUUUUGCUGAAACUCUGAUGUCUCUCUACCUGGUGCAUUUGAAAAGUGCCAUUAACUGUGACGAAGGCAUCAAGGCCAAGAGAGCCGG